rnacentral:rRNA from 1 species
UAGUGGCCCAGUAAGCGCUUAAAGUCCCCGCGCUUUGGGAGAGCCGGCCCCACAGGUUUAAACUCUCAAAUGAAUUGACGGGGGCGCGCACAAGCGGUGGCGCAUGUGUUUUAAUUGGAAGCAACGAGAAGAACCUUCCCUGGCCUUGCCAUGGUGAGAACUUUCCAGAGAUGGAUGGGUGCUUUCGGGAAUUCAGACACAGGCGCCGCAUGGCUGUCGUCAGUUCGUGUCGUGAGAUGUUGGGUUAAGUCCCGUACGCGAGCGCAACCCUUGUCCUUAGUUACCAGCACCUCGGGUGGGCACUCUAAGGAGACUGCCGGUGACAAACCGGAGGAAGGUGGGGAUGACGUCAAGUCAUCAUGGCCCUUACGGCCAGGGCUACACACGUGCUACAAUGGUCGGUACAAAGGGUUGCCAAGCCGCGAGGUGGAGCUAAUCCCAUAAAACCGAUCGUAGUCCGGAUCGCAGUCUGCAACUCGACUGCGUGAAGUCGGAAUCGCUAGUAAUCGUGAAUCAGAAUGUCACGGUGAAUACGUUCCCGGGCCUUGUACACACCGCCCGUCACACCAUGGGAGUGGGUUGCUCCAGAAGUAGCUAGUCUAA